rnacentral:rRNA from 1 species
UCAACAGAGAGAAGCGAAGCCGCGAGGCGGAGCAAACCUCAGAAAAAUAGUCUCAGUUCGGAUCGCAGGCUGCAACCCGCCUGCGUGAAGCCGGAAUUGCUAGUAAUCGCGGAUCAGCAUGCCGCGGUGAAUACGUUCCCGGGCCUUGUACACACCGCCCGUCACACCAUGAGAGCCGGGGGGACCCGAAGUCCGUAGCCUAACCGAAAGGGGGGCGCGGCCGAAGGUAAAACUGGUGAUUGGGGUGAAGUCGUAACAAGGUACC